ensembl:snoRNA U8 U8 small nucleolar RNA
UGGUCAGGCGGAAUAAUCCUUAUCUGCUUCUUCUUUUGAAGGGCAGAUUAGAACAUGAUAAUUGGAGAUCACAUGAUACAUCACUAAAGGUUCUGUGUAAUCAGGAUUUACAAUAUCCUGAUUAUUCCUAUGUUAC